CCUGAUCCUAAUCCUGAUCCUGAUCCUGAUGAUCCCUCUUCUAAGGGGAUCAUCGCGGACUUAAGGAAAAAACCUGAGUGGAUUAAAAUUCGCAUGAGACGUCGAAGGUGAGUGAUCUUGGACUUGUUGAUUGAUAGGGCAUUAGCUAAUUCAUCAAGUGUCAUAGGUUUGCCAUGUUUGUGGAUUAUGUCUGGGAUGUUUAAUUGAAUUGCUG